GAGGGCAUAGUUGAAGUGGUAGAGCAUGUGCUUAGCAUACAUGAGGUCCUGGGUUCAAUCCCCAGUGCCUCCU
rnacentral:tRNA from 1 species